GCUACAUUUGUCCAAACCUGUUCCCAUGAAGAAACUAGCUCAUCUACAUUUUGGAUGGCCAGAGGUCCCACAUGUGCUGUGCAAAAGAAACUGGCCAUCUUGCGUCUACUCGCCUUCUUUGAAGAUGCAAUGAAAACGAAUGACUGUAACUCAGUAACUUAUCGCUACGACUACAUCACUGGAAAUUAUGGAGUACUGCAGGAUCAUGGGUGAUGUCGUUCUAAACCAGGAAGUGCACUGUUAAACAGGAUUUAAAAAUAAACAAAUAAAUGCAGCAUAAAGCUAA